rnacentral:piRNA from 1 species
GAUGGUCACAACUAAAUGGGACAAAGGU